rnacentral:rRNA from 1 species
UACAGGGGGGGCAAGCGUUGUUCGGAAUUACUGGGCGUAAAGGGCCAGUAGGCGGCCAACUAAGUCACACGUGAAAUCCCCAGGCUUAACCUGGGAACUGCGUGUGAUACUGGAUGGCUUGAAUUCGGGAGAGGAAAGCGGAAUUCCUGGUGUAGCGGUGAAAUGCGUAGAUAUCAGGAGGAACACUGCGGUGUAGACAGCUUUCUGGACCACUUCUGACGCUUGAGACCACGAAAGCGUGGGUAGCAAACAGG